CCUACGGGUGGCAGCAGUAGGGAAUCUUUCACAAUGGGCGAAAGCCUGAUGGAGCAACGCCGCGUGCAGGAUGAAGGCUUUCGGGUUGUAAACUGCUUUCAUAAGCGAGAAAUAUGAUGGUAACUUAUGAAUAAGGAUCGGCUAACUACGUGCCAGCAGCCGCGGUCAUACGUAGGAGCCGAGCAUUAUCCGGAGUGACUGGGUGUAAAGAGUUGCGUAGGUGGCAUAAGAAGUAGCUAGUGAAAUCUGGUGGCUCAACCAUUCUGACUAUUAGCUAAACUGUUAAGCUCGAGACCGUUAGGGGUAACUGGAAUUUCUAGUGUAGGAGUGAAAUGCGUAGAUAUUAGAAGGAACACCAAUAGCGAAGGCAGGUUGCUGGGACGGUUCUGACGCUAAGGCACGAAAGCGUAGGGAGCAAACGGGAUUAGAUACCCCAGUAGUC
rnacentral:rRNA from 1 species